rnacentral:tRNA from 1 species
GCCGAUAUAGCUCAGUGGUAGAGCAUCUGAUUUGUAAUCAGGUGGUCUCAGGUUCGAUCCCUGAUAUCGGUA